AGUCAAGAUGGCGGCCUGGAAGUAGCUCCUGCGCGCUGCUCUCACAGGGAGGAGACAAAGGGCUGGUGAACACUGACCCUACAAGCUGAUAUCUAAGAAACCGUGUCGGACUCGAUCAAGGCAGCAAGCCGACACAGAGAACAGAGAGGAGUGCAGCUGGGCAGCAGCCUGUCUGGGAUAAACGCGGAGCCAGGAGAAGCUCCCCAACACAGGAAAGGGGAUUUGAACAACUUGCAAAUACACCAUGCUGGACACACUAAGAUAAGCAAAA
rnacentral:lncRNA from 10 species